AUGCACCAGAUGCUGACCUGUCCGCCUGCGGCUCGGUUGAGGUUCCUCACACUGAUGCACGCGUGAUCGUGGCUGUGGGUCCAAAAGGUGCUACAGAAACACAAGACCCUGAGAUUUAAGCCCUGAGAGGGGAGUCGCUCCCUCAGGUGUUAUAACUCUAGGGUACAUUA